ensembl:lncRNA
ACUUUCGUUUUAUUUAUCACUGGAGGAAGAGCAAUGCCAUAAUAAACAGUGCUGGGAGAUUUCCAGCAGAACAGGUUUUUGUCAGAGGAUGCUGAUUUGUCGUAAGCAAAAUAUUUCGCAGAAGCACAUCUGUUUGGGUGAACUUCCGCUGCAGCCCAGGCAGGUUUCCAUCACUGUCCUGCCUGACUUCCGGCCAGCCUGCCUGGCCGCUCUCCAGGCUCCGGGACGGCUUGGGACUCAACCUGGGAUUCUUUCUGAUUUCUUGUUUUGUUUUGUUUUUUUUUCCCCUCUCUUUUGAAACGAGAGGUAAAAGGUCUUGGAAGAAAUAUAAACCAGCCCUGCAUGCCUUUUUCCAAUUGUUCAGCAUUCGUUUUGUGGGGGUUUUUUUAAUAAUGAUGACAUUGCACAGCACAUCUUGAUUUGUUACAUGGGAGAGCCAGAAUAGCUUUCCUCCCUGAUGAAGGUUAAGCUGCCCUAGAAGUGAAACAGUUUUCAUGCCAUGUUGAGCUUCAUUUCAGAGCAUUUCCUGGAGAACUGGUGCCAGUAUCUUCUCCUCCUCCCUAUUUUCUAAACACUUAAUUGCAUCGCAGUCCCUCUGAAACAGCAGUGCCUUUCUGCUCUGUCUCCUUCACUUGCUUCUCCCAGCCUGGUCUCUAAUUCAGAGGCUGCAUCUACCUCUCAUAUGACUUCUGGACACUUGCAGUUGCUGGUCAUCAUGGUUGACAACAGGUGGUUUCCUGGGACCUCGGGCACCAGAUUUACUCUAGAAAUCCACCUCAGUGGCCGGCUGCUUGUGUAUUAGCUCUGCUGCUGCUUCCUGCUUUAUCUGCCCCAUUUUUAUUGGAUACUUCCUUGCACUUCAGCCUGCACCCGCUGGGUGGUUGUUUGGGGUUUUUCUUUACAGUGGGGUUAUCUGCAAGCAGAACCCUGUGCAGAAGUGUGCCCAGGAUCUUAGGCUUCAUAGAUGAAGCAAAUUCUCUUCCACCUCUGAGCUCAGGUUACAGGCAUUCAGCUUUAUCUGCCUUUGUACUCCAGGCUCAACACUUCUUUCUUUCAACUCUCCUAUAGUUGUUGCUUUUUUUCUUUUUUCUUUUUUUCCCUUCAGACCAUAAGUUUCAUCAGUAUUUGUGUACUUGGAUUAACUCGGCCUUGAAAAGCAGCUGACUAAGAAGCAUUUGGUCAAAAUCGAGAAGAUCUGGUAUUUGGAAUCCUGCACAGACAAUGUCUAUGACUUUGAAUGUAUUCCUGCUUUCCUGUGCUGCAGCUCUGGGCCUUGUCCCACUCUCCUUUACAUCACCCUAUUGACUGCUGGUCUUCAGCACCAGAUUUUCCAAAUGCUCAUCAUCCAUAAUAUUGCAGCAGAUUUUCAACAGUGGGAAGCCACCAGCUGUGACAUUUACAGCCAGGCCCAAAUCCUCAAAAGAACUUGGCAUACUGCCCCAAAUCUGGUCUCAGUCAUGGAUGUGCAGUGCUUUCCAGCAGGAGUGAGAGCCCCAGUAUUGGGACCAACCCGGUUCUGCACAGAGGAACCUUGGCUCAGAUGUGUGCUGUCAAGAUGAAGGGGGAAGGAAGUGCCUUUCAGACAUAGGGAUUCUGCUUUGUGGUGCUUGCUGUACCACAGGGCAGCUGUUACAAAAUGAUAGUUACAAACAGGAGGAACCCAUAAAUACAAAACACAUUUUAAAUUAAGGAAGUCAUGUGGCUGGCCCACUGCAUUCAGUGACUGAUACGAAAUUAGCCACUCAAGUUUGGCACAUUACAGCUACACAAAUUAAAGCAGGUCUUUAAACUGUGAGUCUCUGAAUUACCUUCAGUAGAUCUAUAAAAGGUCUCCAGGAAAACAGGAUUCGUGUUCAUUAUACUGGAUCUUAUGUUUCCACCUAUAAUAUCACUGAAUGAUGCUUAGAGGUGCACAAAUUCAAAACAGAUUUUAGAAAAAAACAGUGGAAUAGAAUUACAAUCAGCAUUAAAAUGGGAGUUUUGAAGUGCAUAACCACUAAAUUACUUGUAGAAGUAGGUUUCUUGUCCUUCUGCCACACUGAAAACAUAUCUGAAGGUAAAAUCAAGCAGAGUGAAAUCACUGAAUGCAGGAUUAUGGUUAUUCAAGGGCCAGCUGGCCCUUCUAAUUGGCCCUCAAAAACUGUCCUAUCUAUUUUGAGAGCAGAAGAAUGAAGGCAGUUGAGCAAUUUUUAGACUAACCCCAAUAUGUGUUAAAAAGACAAACAAGAAAGCAUCACACACAAAAAAGUCACCAAGCCAAAAACAAGCAAGCAAGCCAAGACCCCACCAAGACUCUGAUGGUGAGUAAGGUCACUGCCUAGGGUGCUCCCACAACCUGCAUACAGACAAAGCUGCAGGAGACCACAUGUGGUGCAGGAAGGCAUGGCAACGCUCCUGGGCCUUGUCCUGGGGACAACCUCUUACUCUCCAUUUGUAUUUUGGUACAUUGCUAGUAUGUUCAGGCUCCCACAGUCCUUCACAGCAAGUAAAUACAGACAUAUCAUGCCUGAACACUUCCACACCGUCCCCCACAUACACAGACAGUGGCUGAAACUCUGCCCUGCCAAGGUCAGUGGGAACAUUUGUCAUGAACUCCGGUGCAGGCAGGAUUUCCCUUCUGGACACGCACCUCCUCCAGGAUGUGUGAGCAUGUGAGUGUAUGUGUAUAUACAGAAGCUUUACAGUACAAAGCACUUAGAGAAAGGCAUCUUCUCUCUUUAAAUGUUUUUCUUUGACUUGGUAUUGCAUUAAAUCAGAUCCUCACUAUCAAAGCCACAGUUUCUUGUGACUUAAUGGCAUUAAAGAGCCCUUCUUGCUGGGAGCUCUGCAAUAACAAUCAGGCAGGAGGAAGAGGAAACGAGCUGCGUAGCACACUCUGUACCUUGCAGCUACCAGCUAUUGUUAGAAGCACGUUGCUCCAGACAGAGUGGCAGCAAGGCACAGAGUGGGAAGCAGGUGUAACCUGCCAGGAACACCAGUCUAGCAAAAGCUGUUCUUUAAUUCUGAUGAGUACCCCUCCUUCUCAUCUACAUCCUUUGAAAGAGAUUUUGCAUUCUUACUGAUCAACCCUUGAAAGCUUAGAUAAUGUAUUUAUGGCAAACCAAGAGCUCAUUUUGUCAUGUUAGUACGUUGGUCAUUCAUCUGCAAAGUCACUGAUCCUUUUUUCUUCUGCUCCCUGUCAUAACAUAGCAUUUUAGAUGCAACACUGAAAUCCCAAGAAGCAUGUUUCCAGAUGCUUAGCUGUAGUCUGGAUUCUUUAUGGAAGUGAACAAAAUCCUCCUUGCACGCCCUGCCUAUCCCAUUCUUUUCAUUGCAUAAAAUUCAGAAAGAGAAAGCCUGACUAGUGGAGGCUGCCCAGGCUCCAGCAGGCCUAAUGGAACACUUUGUUCAGGAGUGUAGAGCUAUGCCUAGCAUGGCUGGCUGGGUUCAGACUGCUACUGGGUGACCCAAGCCCAGCUCAAUUACCACACCCUUAAAUUCACCUGCAGUGUGUUGCUAGAGAGCUAGUCUGCCCUCAGCAGGCCUGGAGGUGCUCUCAGUCAUCCACUGAGAGUUUAUAAAUAUCAGUGUGGUGGGCCUAGCCAGACUAUGCAAAGCCAGCCGUCUACAAAUUUAACCCUUUUCUUCAUUUAGUGUGGGAGUUACUGUUCUGCAGUGCAAUAUUAAAGCCUGUUUGUGACCAUGUUCAGUUCACCGUGCUCUUGAUUUGCAGCCUGUACUAACACCUUGGUUUUGGAUACCUGCCUCUUUGCUGAGUGCUUGCACACUGUGCAGUUCAACAUAAAUAAGCAAGUCCAGUCGAGCUGCCGCACUGUAAACAAGCAUGAUGAAAAAUCAUGUCUAUGCCUGCUACGUCCCCUCAUGAUAUUGCCUCUGCUCUGUGUCCUCCACUGAGGCCUGGAGAUGAAGUACCGCCUCAUAUACCCCACUCAUGAAAUGCAUGCCCUGGCUGUUUCCUGCUUAGGGCUAUACAUCAGCUGCAGGACACAUCUUGGCCAGGGAGUCAGUAGACCAUAUGAAGGCCUGGCAUUUUCCAUCCCUUACUAAGUGUUAUCUCGGCUUGUCCCUUAUAUGUUCUUUCUCCUUACAGCUAUUGGUCAUCCUUUAUCAUGGCAUCACUGUGGGGAAGAGGAUCCACCCUUGUUUCCCUCUAUCCUUCAUGCAGCAACUUCAGCUCCAGUAAGACUUCUCCAGGUUUUCUUCAGAAGCUGGCUCAAAACACUGCCAAUGUCCCCAGGCAUCUCCCCCAGCAAUUCUUUCACAGUUUUCUCAUCCUCUUCCCCAGUUGUUCUUGUGUCAUUCACAGCUGAUACUGCCUUCUUCCUAGUAGCCUUAGUGGAACGAUGCUAAAAACAAUAAGAAAAAGAACUCAGAAAUGGUCUUUACACCAGGGAAAAGUCUCCAAUUCAAAUAGUCCCUUUGUGUUUGGGAAGAAAAAUACAAUUUAUAUCUCAUUACCACAUGAUUCCCCAGUCAUUUGCACUCCUGAGCUCUGUUGCUAUUUUACACUUGCUGCUGAUGUAUGAUUUAGCCUGGAGCUGCAAUGUAUAGAUUCAGACUAUGGGAAAAAGGCUGCAGACUCUGUACUAGUAGUCAGCUGAGCUUUAUUUUACAUAGUGGUGACACUGGACAACAACAACUUAGGUGCAGUUUUGGACUGAACAAGAUACAUUUGUCCCUGCUCUGUGGUGGAAACCCAUCCAUCUGGGCGCCCGAGCGCUGUCAUUGUCUCCUCAUUUAUCACUUCCCACUUGUGACAUCACUUUGUCUAGUUAACAGCAACUUGCCAUCUACAGAGCCAAGAAACUUAGAAAAUGUUCUGAUUUUCAUAUCAGGAAGGGCCAUAAGGUGCAUUUUGCAUAUCGAAUGCCUCAGAAACUGGUUCUGUGAAACUGUAAGCACCCAAAAUGCAAGUGCAUACAAUCCUAUGCUAUCUGCUUGAUGUUUUUGCUUUUGGUACAUUGUUUUUGUACUCUAAUAAAUCUUCUCACAUUCUGCUUUGCAUCUUUCCAUCUGGCACUGCUGACGUCAGAUUAAGGAAUGAAGAAGGAAGAGGGCAAGAAGCUGCCCCCAUUAGGAACUGGGCUGGCACAGUCCAGGCCACAGUACAUAAACUCCUUAAUACAAAGUCCAACCCCCCCUCAUAGAAAAAAAAAGUGCCCUUGUAAGAGCAACAGACUUGUCUGCCUAAUUCUUACAGAGGUGUAAUGCUGCCAGCUGCUCUCAUUGAGGUUGUUUCUCAUCCUGGGGUCUGAGCUGCUGCUGUGUGAGGGGGACAAACAGUGCCCUGGGGACAGCGGUUCCUGCAGCUCUGUCCAGCCCAGCAGGGCUGGCUGGCUGGGGGGAAGCACCAUGCAAAUAUGCUUGUGCUGUCACCAGAGCCAGACCAGUCACAAAGCAGAAUGGCUGCAUCCCUACAGAGCUGAGCCCAACACCAUCAGCUCUACAUAGAGCUGACUGGGAUAUGAGUCUCUCCUGACAAUGAAAGUGCCUGCAACAGAGCAGAGAAACCCAGGCUAUCUGCAGAGGUCUGUUGGUACCUCAGCCCUACACCUCGACUGGCUCUUCUCCAAGCCCCUACAACACUAAUGCCACCACAGUGUGUGUGUCCCUUCUGCAGCCAGCAUGCUGGGAGGGUAAUGCAGCCAUACCUAAACCCACAGUGAAAAUCAGAGGCAGUUGCACCUGUGCUGUCUCUAAUAUUUCCAUCACCAUGAAUAUCCAGCCUCCUGUAAAGGAAAUUCAUAUGUCAUCUUGUAAUGUCAGGAAAACGGACACUUAGCGUAGUAACCCAUACAUUGACUGUUCUAUCAUCAUGUCUUGCUGCUCCAGAACAGCAGAUCAUAGAUGACAUGUAUCACUGGAGAGAUGCUAACCCUUUCCCUGUAGCUAACAUGUUAUUUCUUUUUUUUUUAAAUUCCAUGCACUACUGUGCUUUAAUGUUGGAUGUGCCAAAAGCACUUUUCAUGUUCUACUUCCAAAAGUCAGUGAUCAAGAGGGAGAAGCAAGACCAGUGCUGAUGGUAUCUGAGAGUGCUCUCUCACUGAAUAUUUUGAGAAUUUAGAUGGUAGAACACCUUCCUCCAAAGCAUUGUUUGUAGAGAUUAAUGAAACCUGUACGUAUUUUACAAAUCUGAUUGGGAGAGAAUUUCUUGAAUUUAGAAAAACUUGACACUAUUGCAGCUUGUCUAGAUUGAAAUGAAAACUAAUUUCAACAUGUUGAAAAUCCCACCAAAGUGGAAAUUUCCAGUUCUAAUCUGCUCUGAAGAUCACACAAAUAACAUUUCAUAUUUUUAUGGCAGCAGAUCAGAACAGCAUAAUUCCUUUCUUCCAUAUGGCAAGGAUGAUGCAAAAUAAUAGCUGGAGUGAGAAAAAAAAAAAUCUGUGACUAUUUGAAAUACAAAGAGGAAGAGCUUCAUUGAAAUUAUCUCUUUGGAACAUCAUUCCUCCUAACUCAGAGCUCCUCAGCACACGUUUGGCACAAGCUCUGCUAGGGUUUGCUUCUGCACUACUGACAGCUAGAGAUGCAGAAUCCCAGAUGCAUUUUUUUCUCCACCAAGAGUGAUUGGCGUAAAAUCAAACUAGUCCUGUGCUGUCUGGCUUGAAGUCCCUCUGCAGAAUAUAAUAGCUGUCCUACUAAUAUUGCAGUAUUUUCUUUCAAUUGAUUGACUGGGUGAUUAGUGAAAAAAGAACAAAUUUGUGAAGACGAGGAUUUUCCCUCCAUGCCAGCACUAGGCCGGACCUCCCCAUGUCCCGUGCAGGCCAUAGUGGAUGACAGUAUCUCCCUGGAGAGCUGAUGGCACUGCAAAGAGACCGUGCCUCCACUGCUCCAAACAAGGAGCUUUUUACAGCAAAACAGCUGAUAUGAAUGGCCUUUUUUGUCUGUGAAGAAAGAGUGUGUUUCCAGGCAUGUGCAGGGCACAGACAUGGCAGCUGCUGAGGGAGCAGUGCUUGGCCAAGCUGGAGAUCCCGCUGGGCAGAACCAAAAUAGCACAUGACCUCAUCACCCAUUAAAGAAUAAGUUGUCCUGCACCACGGGCAUCAAUCAUCCAUGACUCCUUCACAAGAAUCUGGGGUGAACGAUUAAUUCACAAGAGUUAAAUGUCCACUAACACAUACACAAAAAGGCUCAUAGGGUCUACCAUUCUAAAAAAAAAAAAGUAACAAACAGAAACUACUACUUCUUAUUCAUUAUAAAGUGAGGGGGGGGGGAAACAUUGCAGAAAUAUAAGCAACUGCCCUGAACUUUCCAUUUUUUUAAACAUAAAUGAAACAUUUUCUUCCAUGUUAGAUCUUGAGUGAUGCUGUUUCUGUUCUCUUCCUUUGACAAUUUGUGAGAUGAAUUGGAGACCUGAGAUAUCUCACUCUAUUUGCAUUCAGUUCAGUGAAGAGUUUAAGACAUCCCUUUCUUACAGAGAAGGAAUUACUUUUUUUCCCCUCCAGUGAUAUAUUUACAUAUCUUCUGCACUUACUUUACCAUCUUUUUAAAAUAAAGUCAUCACCACCUUGAAAUGUUUACUUAGGAUUAUGUUCUCUUAGACCAGUGCAGGUGAAAUUAUGUCUUUCCUUAUCCAAAGAAGACACAAACAUCCUGUAGGAACAAAGUUCUCAGGAUCCUUCCAUAGAAAUGUUCACAUACACACUAGCAAAGAGGUUUUAUGUUCUGUAUGCAUGGGUAGUUUGGAAGGUAUAUAGGCAAAGUAAAGCAUGCUGCUUUAGAUACUUGUGUCACAUGCUAUUGAUCAUGCAUGUGAGACUCUGAUAAUUAGGAAACCAAUGGACAAAGCAGCUGGCAUUGCUAUCCAUCUUGAGCAUAAUAAAAAUUUGUUUAGUUUUAAUUUCACUUCAUGGAAAUUGGAAAUUUCCCGAUCAUUGUAUUGAUUAUAUAAUUAUUAUUGUUAAGUAGUACAGUGCUGAAGGACGCUGCAGGCCAUGGAAAAUGAUCAAUAAUACGUUAGAUGGGAAAUCAUGUACAUUAACAGUAGUGAAUCACUGCUACUAAAGGAAAGAAGAAAAUGCAAGCAUAUUUUAUACUGAAGCAGUGACUAUAGAAACCCAUGCCCAGAGUAUGGGGUUACCUGAGAAAGCUUGAACACAGAUCUCCCCUAAGCCAGGGGUUGCCCUGCAGGGCACUGAACACAGAGUCCUGGCACAGCAUGACUCUCAGAGGUCCCAUGUGCAGAAGGCAUUACUCCUACAGGGGACAGAGCCUUGGGUCAGAUACAUGCUGGCAUCUUCAGAAAGGGAAAGUACAGGCUGCUGUCAUUUCCUUGGACUACACUAAAUGGAGAUACUUGACCCACACAGCCAUAUCCCAUCUUCCUGAGAGGCCACCAGCAGGCUGGGAGCACUGGGGCAGCUGGCCAUGGGUAAGGACAAGCAGCUCCUCCUCAGUCUUCAGGCAGUACCCAGAAGAGGGAGGAGAUUAAUGUCUUUUCCAUCAUCUGAAGAGCUAAUGCACAUGAGCCUUCCUCCCCUCCCAGGAGCACCAGUGCCUCUAUGGGCACCUCCUGGCACCAAUAGCAGCCACGCACCAAAGGACACAGGGCCCCACAGGAGACAAAGGCAGCACAUGACACGUUGCCAGGACUGCUCCUGAGGAAAGAGAUCCAGAAACUUCUCUGAAACUCGCAUUGGUUUCUGUGAGGCCAUGGAAGUCUUUGGGACUGCAGCAUUUCUUCAGGACCUUUCUUCAGGAGGAGCCAUCUCAGGGCCGACAGCCACCAUGCAGCAGCAGGAAGCCACACUGCUGGUCUGCCUUUAUGCAGGGCCAGGCCCUGUGCCUGAGGGUUGGACCUUUUCCAGUCGCGGGUUGUACGGCUGCUGCAGAAGCUGCUUCUGGCCACAUGUUAACACAGGCUGUGACAGGCUGUAAUUUCAGUGCUGAGGCAGUGCUCGGCUUUGGAGCACAACGAAGGGGAUAGCUGCUGCACGGGAGCUCACAGUAUGUACCGUGGUGGCCGCUGUCAUGGGUCUCUAGCUGGUGACAUGCAGGCUGUGAUGGGAAAACUGCUUAGGAGCUGAGUCUGCAUAUUCUGCCAACAAGCAGGGGUUGUCAGCAUGAUGAAGUCUAUCACUAUCCUAAUUCUUCAAAUUGGCAUUUGAUUUUAAAAUUCAGCAAGACUGAUGGAGCCAAAGCUUAGCGGAAAACACAACAGAUGUCAAGAGAUUCAUGCUAAAACUGGGAGAGAGCUGUGUAAAUGCAGCACAGGUGGGCUGAACUGCAGUCAUUUCACCUUCAGGAAAUAAAGUUUUUGCACUAGAAAAAAAACUCUUUCGUGGAAGUCUGAAAUGACGUUGCUUUACAGCCACUGAAGCAAACCAACACCACCUGUGGAGCGUCUGCUGCUGUCCCACAGCCUUCACUGGAAAGGACUGGAAGAAAGGCACAGUAAAACCUGGAGGCAAGUGCUGUUCACAGCUGCCCCGGCAUUGUGUUUGCAGAGGGAGUUUGUACCAGGGAUAUGAAGAAAUCGUUCUCUUCAGUUUCCAUAUCAGGUUUUCAGAUCAGCGCUCUUCCCAGCCUUUCCUCCUCCGGGCUGCUUGCAGUGUGGAGUGCUCUUUUCCUGUUUACCCUUACAUGCCUUUUUAUUACCAGGCAGGAUUUUUUUUUUUUUUUUUUUUUUUUUUAAGCACACUCAGGCGCCUGCUUGUUUUUUCUAAAGCUCUACGGGGAUUUGUUGGCGUCUUUUGUAGCAGGUCAUCCUGUUUUCAGACAAAGUUCCUGUCUUGUUAAAAACAAUCAUUUCUGGAUGUCUCUGUAUGGCUCCUGCUUUUAAUCAUCCUGAGUCCUUGAGCCACGUAGUCCACACCCCAUUUAUGUAGGUUGUGUUUGUUUGCGGCUUAAAAAAUAAUAAUUAAAAAAAUAAUAAUAAAAAAAAGGAAGAAAGAAAAGAAAGGAAGAACCACUGUGGCACACUAAGGAUAAAGGCUACGAGUCACAGACAGAGUGGCGGCAGCAGCCAGUCCCUUUCCCACCGCUGACAGUGCCCUUUCCUCUGUGGGUGGGAGCAGGCUGGCUGCAAAUGUUGGGAAGGGAUCAGCCAGAACAGUGCUGCUGGGCAGGGUCUGUGCUCAGAGCACCUUGCUGAAAGAACAUGGCAACAAUCAUAGAAUCAUAGCAUCACCAAGAUUGGAAAAGACCUCCAAGAUCAUCCAGUCCAACCAUUCACCUAUCACCAAUAUUUCCCAUUAAACCAUGUCCCUCAUUACAACAUCUAAACAUUUCUUGAAUACCUCCAGGGAUGGAGAUAAUGCUCUAUAUGGCUCUAAAACCCAUGGAUGGACAGUAGUAAUGCUAGUCUAAUCCUAUAUAGCUUGUUGGCUUUAAAUUUAAUGUUGAGAGAAAAGCUCAGACAACUCUCUGCCAUAUUCCACAUGUUUUAAUUCUGUAUGUGACACCUAUAACUGUAGCAAUGGCAAGUAACAAGAGUGCAUCCAUGCAGCCAACACCUCCUGUGAUGGGGGGACUGCUGUUGUUUAAAUUGUAGUGAGGCUGUUACAGGUAUCCUGCAUGGCUUUCUUUGAGACAGAGAUAGGAGAUUAGCCUUUUGGUAGACGAUAUUCUUGGUCAUGGGAGGGCAACUAGUGCCUCUUAGCUAGUCCCCCUUCCAAGCUGGCGGCCAGUGACAUGCAAUUUAAAAGUUAGAAGACGUAAGUAAACCCCAGUGAUCAGUGAUAAAAAAUGCUUGAGUGUUUAACAAGCAUAUUUAGUACCCUUCACAUAUUAGUAGAUGGGGAAAAUAAUUCCACAGAAGGUGGCAUGCCUUGCCUUAAGCUGGGACUAGAAGUCCAGUCUCUUUUACCUCUCCCAAGAGGAAGGGCUCACUCCGUAUGCCAGCCUGUGUUGCUGCUCUGGAGCAGAGAACUGAAUCUGUGAGCUCUGGAGCUUGCACUUUCCAGCCUCCUGUCUGUUGGGGAGUACUGCUAUUACAAAUGGCAAAUAAUAAAAAAAAAGACAACUAAUGCAUUCUUCUUACUGGCUCCCACAUCUUAAGGGGUCUUGGCCCACCUCCUAGGAGCCAUUUACUCACACAGUGAAAGCUCACUUUCAAGGGUACCUUCCAGAGUUUUUAUGUACUGUUAUGUUCCAGGAGGUGAUGAAACAAGUUUCAAAAUAUGUAUAUUUAAAGGUGUUGUGGCUUGCAGGUCCAUCAAGAGAAACAGUCUAUUAUGUGCUUCCUUAUGCUGAACACUCCUGCAAAAUGAUCAUCAAUCAAAGUUUCAGCCUUUGGUAAAUUUACCCCUGACAGUUCUUAUACGAAGAUGUUACACAAUCCCUAACCCAAAUGCUUUGAUCUCCUAAGUCAAAGUCAAUAUGUCCAGCUGGAUAAAUAGCAUUAAGCCCAGCACUCUUCCUGUGUAAGUGAUAAAAAAAUUGAUGGAGUCCUGACUUGCAGAAGCACAGGUGCUUUAAAUCAAUGGACUACAGUUCACCAAAGCUAUUAAUACCAACCCUGGGAGUCCUGACUGGAAGGAAAGAGCUUUGUAAUUUUAAUGCACCUUAGUUCAGAAGUGGAGUUCAAAUGAGGUCAUUUGCAGAUGGCCACAAACACUGGGAUGGUGCAGGUCAGUUAAGCCAUUUGCUUUAACUGGACUAGAGGCACAGAGCUGAGAUUCAAUCUCCCUGCAGCACAACAGGGUGAACUUUCCCAGAUGUGUCUGCAUAAACAGAUUUACAGCCCUGUCCCUGGUCUCUGUCCUAAACAGUCCUCUCUUCCUACGCAUUAGAGAUGCCCCCCUCCCUCCUUUUCUCAGGACCCUCAGACUUUUUCAAAACUCAUUUAUUCUUCUUGGACUCCAAACUGACUAUGGUAAGAAUGCCUCCUCUUCUUCUUCCUCCUCCCUGCAUUAUCACAGACUGAGAGUCCCUCUCCCUGGGUAACAGCAGGGCUCAGGCAGGUUUCCUGCCCUACAGCUUACUCACUUCCCAGCAUCAAUUAUCUAUUACAGAUCCUGCCUUAGUGCCCAUUCCCCUCCUCCCUGAUAAUAAUGAAAUUCUUGAAAGCUUGAGAUAAAUAUCCUGUUACAAAACAGAUGAUCAGGAUGAAUAUUUCUUUCAUCCUCUAAGUCACUACUUGUGGGGGAGUGGAGAUAGUCUGUUUAGCCAUAUGGAUGGUUUUCCAUCAUUCGCAAAUGUCACUGACAGCAGGGCAAAAAAUAAUUCUUUGAUAUGAUCUUUGGAUUGUGUCAGUUAAAACCCCCAAUUCUUGGAAGGUAAAAUUCACCCUGGCUCAAGGGCCACUCCAUAGAAAAUAUUGGCC